AAGACCUUGCGCUUUUGGAGCGGCCGAUGUCUGAUUAGCUUGUUGGUGAGGUAAAGGCUUACCAAGGCUUCGAUCAGUAGCUGGUCUGAGAGGACGGCCAGCCACACUGGGACUGAGACACGGCCCAGACUCCUACGGGAGGCAGCAGUGGGGAAUUUUGGACAAUGGGGGCAACCCCGAUCCAGCCAUGCCGCGUGAGUGAAGAAGGCCUUCGGGUUGUAAAGCUCUUUCAGCCGGAACGAAACGGUUACGGUUAAUACCCGUGACUACUGACGGUACCGGAAGAAGAAGCACCGGCUAACUACGUGCCAGCAGCCGCGGUAAUACGUAGGGUGCAAGCGUUAAUCGGAAUUACUGGGCGUAAAGCGUGCGCAGGUGGUUUUGUAAGUCAGAUGUGAAAUCCCCGGGCUUAACCUGGGAACU
rnacentral:rRNA from 1 species